GCCAGGUGGGUGUGGACGGCAUGGGGACGCGCCGCGUGAACUUCCCGGGAGCGCUGUGGCGUGCAGAAGGAGAGGACUUGGUGAGGAGCUGCUGCCACCCGAGCUGGGCCAGGACCUGAGAUCUCAUUGCUACUGCUGCUGCUGCUGUCUGGGAGACCUUUCUGAGACCCAGGUUGGGGACAGUGCCGGAGGGGCCUCCUCUGCUGCAGACAUCUGGCCGCAGGAGGGAGCUGGCUGGACCGAAGCUGGGCACACAUGGACAGGAAGCUCCUGGACCCAGCGUAAGAAGAAGUGGGCGGGACACCAAUGCCGAUCUCUGGCUUCAGGUCAACUGCUUGCUCGUGGAGCCUCAGUUUCCUCAUCUGGAAGUGAGAGCCCCAUGGGCCCAGGUAAGAAGGCUGCACGGGGCUCCCACAAAGUCAGCGGUGUCAGCUCCUGGUUUAGACGAGGCUCCUGGCAGGGGCUCUGUCCACGUUCCGUCUCUUUCCCUGUCGCUCUGCACCCGCCUGACCAGACUGUCCUGAGGGCAGGGCCAGUGUGGGAGCCUCAGUGCUGGAUGGCUCCCUGAUGGUCACAGCAGCCAGAAGGAGCUGGGAGGCCUGGCUGUCAUCCGUCAUACUAACGGGCACACUCAGCAUGGGCGGGGGUGAGCCAGUGGAGACGGAGGCCAGCUGUGAAUUACAUGCCUGGGGCCCUGUGUGGUUCUUUUG
rnacentral:lncRNA from 1 species